UCCCAUUGGCCGGGAAUGGGGAACCGCAGCCCUCUGCCUCCCCUCCCCCAGGGGCUCCAGGGACAUGGUACCGGCUGCUUCCAGGAGCCUGCCCUGGCCCUAGUGUGCGCCGCUGCCACCCCGGAGCCGCUCCAGUGCCUACUCGUGACUCUAAGCAGUUCAAAUAACUAAGAACAAACAAUAUUUCAGACAAGAUGUAGCACCUGCAACCACUGCCUGUCAUGAACAUGAAACCCCUGGUGACCUUCCAGCCCCUCAGCUCAUCCAAUGUGGCUAUAUGCAGAAGCACUGAAGGGCUCAAAUCUGGAUGGGGAGGAACAGAGGUCGUCAGCAUGGAAUAUUUCAGUUCUUCAUGUGAGAUCAGCGACUCUAACACUGGCAUACUUGAGGUCUUUAAACCAUGAUUUGAGGACUUCAGUAACUCAGACGUAGGUUAGAGGUUUGUUACAGGAGUGGGUGGGUGAGAUUCUGUGGCCUGCAUUGUGCAGGAGGUCGGCCUAGAUGAUCAUAAUGGUUCCUUCUGACCUUAAAGUCUAUGAGUCUAUACUUGAUCACUGAAUACUGAGUACCAGUCUGGGUGGAUAGAUCACGUACCAAAUCUCUGGACACGGAGCUUAAUUCCACAAUGAGAACACUAACUGGAACAUUAAAAUCAACACCCACUCAACAGUUGUCCAGUCUGGUGUACACACCCCUCCACCCAAAAUCUGGGGAGGGAGGGAGACAUCCUCCGCCACCCUCGUGAGUUCAAUCAAAUCAUGGCCACCUUGAACAUAUCAAUUCAUGAGGAACUCCAGAAUUUUAUGAAGACAUGCCUGAAAUCUUGUAAGCCUUUCUGGGAUCAGGCUAAAGCUCUUAAAGCAUCCUCAUUCAAUCCUGAGGCACAACAGAAAUGACAAUGCUCACAUCCCACAUAAAUACCUGAUUGCUGAUCCCACAGAAGAACUUGCAGGCUUCAACCUACCCCAGAAACAAUGGUCCAUGUUGAACUGUUUUAGAACAUCACACUGCAGAUGCUUCCAUGGUUUUAUAACUUUGAAGAUAAAAGAAUGCACAAUGUGACUGUGGACACCUGUUGCAAAUGAUGGACCACCUUGCAAAUUGUGCCCACUUCUAUUGUUUCCUGGAGGCAUCUCAGAUUUUUACCAAGCCACUUCAGAACCUGUUCACUAGCUCACUCAUCAGGACUUCGUUAUCUAAACAUUGCUAAUAACCCCCUUGCCAUAUAAAAGAAGGAUAUGAGGUCACUUUGGGAUCCAGAAGGUUACCUAUAACAUGUUCAUCGUGCUGGGUCAUGAACUCGCUAACAAGUUGUGAAUUUAUUAGCUUGCUAGCACAGAAGCAUAUUUUAUAUUUUUGCCUUGUUCAAAUAAAAAAGCUCUACAGAUCUACCUAUUAUAUGUACAUAUAUGGGCAUUUUCGGUGUGCAUUCCUACUGGAUAGUGGGAAGACCAGGAUAAUUACCAUGAUUGUUUUCCUUGCUUCUUUUUUUAAAAAGUGACUCAUUCUACAUUAAGUUGUUUUUGAGGGUUUACCGUUACCUGAUUUGAGAAGCCUCGAUUAACUUCAGACUCCUCCACAGAACCUGUCUGCCUUAGUCUGUCACCCUAUAGCAGUGGUCUCCAAAGUGGGGUGCGCAAGACGAUCCAUUGGGGAGCAUGGCAGGAGGAGUGCUGCUGGACAGGGA